GGUCUUGGUCUCAAACCUCAC
rnacentral:rRNA from 1 species